rnacentral:lncRNA from 1 species
GCACAUUUUGCUACUUGCUUUGCAUUGAGUUCAGUCAACCUUUGUUGUAUACCUUAUGAGAGUCUUGUCAUGCUUUUAAAAUCAAGAUCACAUGCACACUCCAUCUACAUAUGCAUUAGUCCUACUCUGGGAGUAAGCGCAACCAUUUUCCACUUUGAUCCAGAUCCACCUUAAAAUUAUUCUUCUCCUACACUAGGAGUCAAACACCCAAAAAUAUAUAUAAACCCAUAGGAUAGCCUUUGUUUAAUUACUCUAAGUACUUAUUGCUAUCUCUACAAUUAUCAUAUUAUAUUCAAAGGAUGCAUGUGGCUAUGCAAAAGGAAAGUUAUUGAAAAAAAUAAGAGGGAGUAAAAUAAGGACAAGUGUCCUAGCAACUAAAACAAUGGGUACUUAUAUGCUCGCCUUCCUGAAAGUAAAAGAAAAAAGAAAGAGAAGAGAGAAAAGAAAACGAAUAAAGAUAGCCAUGUUUUCCUGCGAAAAGUUCCAAGAUCAAAAGAGAGAUUUAUCCUCAAGGAGCAAAAGUAGAAUUAGAAUUAGCCACUAAAUACCUUAUAUACACCUAUCCACC